AACGAACGCUGGCGGCAGGCUUAACACAUGCAAGUCGAACGGGCGUAGCAAUACGUCAGUGGCGGACGGGUGAGUAACACGUGGGAAUAUGCCUUUCGGUUCGGAACAACUCGGGGAAACUCGUGCUAAUUCCGGAUACGCCCUUACGGGGAAGAUUAUCGCCGAAGGAUUAGCCCGCGUUGGAUUAGCUAGUUGGUGAGGUAAUGGCCCACCAAGGCGACGAUCCAUAGCUGGUUUGAGAGAACGACCAGCCACACUGGGACUGAGACACGGCCCAGACUCCUACGGGAGGCAGCAGUGGGGAAUCUUGGACAAUGGAGGAAACUCUGAUCCAGCCAUGCCGCGUGAGUGAU
rnacentral:rRNA from 1 species